rnacentral:tRNA from 1 species
UGGGGAUUCGCCAAGUGGUAAGGCACUGGAUUCUGGCUCCAGCAUUCGCAGGUUCGAAUCCUGCAUCCCCAGCCA